rnacentral:rRNA from 1 species
UACGUAGGGGGCAAGCGUUGUCCGGAAUUAUUGGGCGUAAAGCGCGUGUAGGCGGCCAGAUAAGUCCGCUGUGAAAUCUCAGGGCUCAACCCUGAAACUGCAUUCGAUACUGCGUGGCUAGAGUGCUGGAGAGGAGACUGGAAUUUACGGUGUAGCAGUGAAAUGCGUAGAGAUCAUGAGGAAGACCAGUGGCGAAGGCGGGUCUCUGGACAGUUCCUGACACUGAGGCACGAAGGCCAGGGGAGCAAACGGG